rnacentral:rRNA from 1 species
UACGGAGGGUGCGAACGUUAAUCGGAAUUACUGGGCGUAAAGCGCGCGUAGGUGGUUCGAUAAGUCGGAUGUGAAAUCCCCGGGCUUAACCUGGGAAUUGCAUUUGAUACUGUCAAACUAGAGUGUGGUAGAGGUAAGCGGAAUUCCCGGUGUAGCGGUGAAAUGCGUAGAUAUCGGGAGGAACAUCAGUGGCGAAGGCGGCUUACUGGACCAACACUGACACUGAGGCGCGAAAGCGUGGGUAGCAAACAGG